rnacentral:rRNA from 1 species
AUUGAACGCUAGCGGCAUGCUUUACACAUGCAAGUCGAACGAGUGGCGGACGGGUGAGUAAUAUAUCGGAACGUGCCCAGUAGCGGGGGAUAACUACUCGAAAGAGUGGCUAAUACCGCAUACCAUCGGAUGGGCCCAUAUGGGAUUAGCUAGUUGGUGGGGUAACGGCUCACCAAGGCCACGAUCCCUAGCUGGUUUGAGAGGACGACCAGCCACACUGGGACUGAGACACGGCCCAGACUCCUACGGGAGGCAGCAGUGGGGAAUUUUGGACAAUGGGGGAAACCCUGAUCCAGCCAUCCCGCGUGUAUGAGAAGGCCUUCGGGUUGUAAAGUACUUUUGGCAGAGAGGCGGUAUCUGCAGAAUAAGCACCGGCUAACUACGUGCCAGCCGCCGCGGUAAUUC